GCUGGGUGUGGUGGCGUAUGCCUGUAAUCCCAGUGUCUUGGGAGGCUGAGGCAGGAGGAUCAUGAGUUUAAAGCCAAGCCUCAGCAAUAAGCACUAAGCAACUUAGUGAGACCCUGUCUCUA
rnacentral:sRNA from 1 species